GAAUAUUGGACAAUGGGGGGAACCCUGAUCCAGCCAUGCCGCGUGUGUGAAGAAGGCCUUUUGGUUGUAAAGCACUUUAAGCGAGGAGGAGGCUACUUAGAUUAAUACUCUAGGCUAGUGGACGUUACUCGCCGAAUAAGCACCGGCCAACUCUGUCCCAGCAGCCGCGGUAAUACGGAGGGUGCAAGCGGUAAUCGGAUUUACUGGGCGUAAAUCGCGCGUAGGUGGCCAAUUAAGUCAAAUGUGAAAGCCCCGAGCUUAACGUGGGUAUUGCAUUCGAUACUGGUUGGCUAGAGUAUGGGAGAGGAUGGUAGAAUUCCAGGUGUAGCGGUGAAAUGCGUAGAGAUCUGGAUGAAUACCGAUGGCGAAGGCAGCCAUCUGGCCUAAUACUGACACUGAGGUGCGAAAGCAUGGGGAGCAAACAG
rnacentral:rRNA from 1 species